GAUGAAGAACGUAGCGAAAUGCGAUAAGUAGUGUGAAUUGCAGAAUUCAGUGAAUCAACGAAUCUUUGAACGCACAUUGCGCCCCUUGGUAUUCCAUGGGGCAUGCCUGUUCGAGCGUCAUUUGUACCUUCAAGCUUUGCUUGGUGUUGGGUGUUUGUCUCGCCUUUGCGUGUAGACUCGCCUUAAAAUAAUUGGCAGCCGGCGUAUUGAUUUCGGAGCGCAGUACAUCUCGCGCUUUGCACUCAUAACGACAGCGUCCAAAAGUACAUUUUACACUCUUGACCUCGGAUCAGGUAGGGAUACCCGCUGAACUUAAGCAUAUCAAUAAGCGGAGGA
rnacentral:misc_RNA from 1 species